UUACUUACCUGGCAGGAGAGAUACCAUGAUCACCAAGGUGGUUUUUUCAGAGCAAGGCUCAUCCAGUGCACUCCAGGUGUGCUGGCUCCUGCAGUUUCCCCAAAUGUGGGAAACUCAGCUGCAUAAUUUGUGGGGC
rnacentral:snRNA from 1 species